GAGAGAGAGAGAGAGAGAGAGAGAGAGAGAGAGAGAGAGAGAGAGAGAGAGAGUCUGAGCCCCUUGGUGUGUGAUUAUUUGCUGGAGUCUGCAAAUAUAUCAGGCCCAGCUGGGUGAUGAAGCAGGCUGAUGGAGUUGCUCUCAUCUUAGUACAUAGGACUUAGCAGUAGUUUCAAAGUGGGGCUCAGGGGCUCCUUAGCCUCUCCACCCCCAACUCUGUGUGGAUAGGAUUUAUUACGAUCAUGACUUGGUGUGAUAUGGGUCAGCACAGUGGAAGCCCUCUGUGUACAGGGCCCAGCACUUGUCUAAAGGACUGUGACUGACCCCACAGCCAGCAGAGAUGAGCCAGGUCUCAAGUUGCCAUGUCUUUAAAUUCCCCUGUGUUAGGCUCAGUGAAGUCCCACUUCACUAAGAUGAGUCUUCUGGCAGCCAGGGGACUUGAACACGGUUCUACGCAGGGGCUCAGUGACUUGUUUCUUAUUCUUCUGGUGUAAGUUUUUUUUUAUUCUAUUGGUGUAGAUGGGUCAGAUGACCUGGCCACAGUCUGGGGCCUCCAAAAAAACAUCCAUGUGCCUGUCUGGAGCCUAGGUGGAGGACAGAUUCGACAGCAGAGGCAUGAAGACCACUAGAAAAUCGUCUCUAAGGUCCUGAGGCAAGCCAUGUCGUCUACCAAGGAGGGAGCUAUCCCAGCAGCCAUUGCUUCCUCUUUCUUGGUUAGAAAGCUGUCUUCCUUCGUGAGGUUGGCCAACCAGGAGCACACACAGGCCCCAAGUGACACAGGUAUUUGUGCCACAACAGAAGAUGGUUAGAGAAGACUUUGCUGUUCCAAUGCCUACAGUGCUACAGCCAGCUAGGCAGAGAAACCACCAGCUGUGUCCGUUUCCCCACUGAUGGCCCGGGUACCACCAGCUGUGUCCGUUUCCCCACUGAUGGCCCGGGUACCACCAGAUGUGUCCGUUUCCCCAGGUGUUCACACUGUGCCCUUGGCAGGUUCUGUCUGGAAGAUGCUGCUGGGGUCUUUGGAAGUGUGAUGUGCCUCAUCUCUAAACAUCUUGGCUAAAAGAAUAAAACACGUGGACAAACGCAACCUGCGAAUCCAGAUGUGGCAUAUGGCAUCUGAAAUAUGUACUAUUUAAGGAACAAAAAAUAAUUGAGAAGUUUAACAAGUGGGUAAGCUAGGAUGCAGCACUUAUGGCAAAAGCAGUGAACUGUGUGGUCCUCACUUUGCUGGGAGCAUCCCGGAUACAAGCCCCUCCCAAAUCAAGACCGUCACACCAGCUUCCUUCUCAAAGCUACUAUUUAUUCUGUACAAGGCUCCACUGUACACUAGACAUUCUACUCUUGCUUACAUAGUAAACAAGUGUACACCAGCCCUUGGGCUCAUGUUCACAGGUCUUCCCUAGAGAAGGGUAUCAGGCCAGGUAAACUCAGGGUGUCUUUUCUUGGGUGCCCUGUCCUGGGACACUCAAGCACUCGAGGUUCUGAGGGCAUAAGCCAGGCCCACCUGUGGGGGGUGCAAAAUGCACUGUGCGAAAUGCCUUAGUGCUGAAUAGCUUGGCUCUUGGGACAGCAUGGAGUAUUUUUUUUUUUUUUUUUGUCUAACGUCAGGGCAAAGAAUCAUACAAGCUAACCCCAGCCAUCCAGGCUCACACUCCCAGGACAGGACCAAAGACUGAUGCCAAGAUGGGGUAAGGGGUGGUGUGGGUGUCCCUGAGAAGCUCAGUCCAGAGGGCCUUUGUCUAAGAGACUCUGGGAAAGGGACAGGUGGCAGGAAGCUUGGGGGAUAAGGGCAUCAAAAAGAGAAUAAAUUAAAGGGAGGGGGGAGUUGAGGGGCAAGGAGCCUGUGCUGUCCUUCAAACAGCUGGGGAGACCGGGGUGGGUGAGAGGGUGGUAGGAAGAGCUUGAUACACUAUCUUAAGAAUCACCAUUUACCCACUUCCCUCUUUUACUGCUGUGCACAACAAGCCAGGGGUUCAGGGCAGGACCCCGCAACCCCAAGUGGCUUUCAACAUGGCACGGGGAUAAAGGGAAGCAGCUGAGGGAGAUAUCUCAGGAAGGGGAAGUUAUCCCCUGGUCCCCAAAUGCUAUAAGGCACAAUUCUUGGAGGCAACUAGAUUCCAUUCAAAAUAUUAAAGGGGAAAAGAAAAAGCAACUUCAAAGCAGAGUAACUUUAGAUCCCAGGUCUACUGUGACGAUGCUUGGGCCCAGCCAACACUCACCCAGCACACGGGGACUAGCAUUAGGAAGGCUGUGUUUGGAGAAGAAAAAAA